rnacentral:rRNA from 1 species
UGCUCGGGCGACAUGCUAUACCAUGCAGUCGAACGGUAGAUAGAGGAGACAUUGCUCUUUUGAGCAGUGGCGAACGGGUGAGUAACACGUGAGCAAUCUGCCCUUGACUCUGGGAUAAUCGUUGGAAACGACGUCUAAUACCGGAUACCAACUUGGAAGGCAUCUUCGGGGGUGGAAAGAAAACUUCAUUCCAAAUUGCGCCCGGUUUUUUGGAAUUCUUCCCCUUGCGGUUUUGACCCUUUAUAACGGCCAUUCGGCCUUAGAGGAUGCCAGACCCAAUGGGACUGAAACAAUGUCCAUACUCCCCAGGUACGCAGCAGUGGGGAAUAUUGCAAUACGGUCGAAAGCCUGAUGUACCAACUCCGCAUGAAGGACGACGGCCUUUCUUUGUGACCAAUUUAACCAAGCAUCUCCCGACACUGAC